rnacentral:rRNA from 1 species
CUAGUUGGUAGGGUAACGGCCGUACCAAGGCGAUGAUGCAUAGCCGAGUUGAGAGACUGAUCGGCCACAUUGGGACUGAGACACGGCCCAAACUCCUACGGGAGGCAGCAGUAGGGAAUCUUCCACAAUGGACGCAAGUCUGAUGGAGCAACGCCGCGUGAGUGAAGAAGGGUUUCGGCUCGCAAAGCUCUGUUGUUGGUGAGGAAGGACAGGGGUAGUAACUAACCUUUGUUUUGACGGUAAUCAAUUAGAAAGUCACGGCUAACUACGUGCCAGCAGCCGCGGUAAU